GCUUCAGUCGAUGCUUCACUUUCUUAACGUGAAAAUGUCAAUUUGCCGCUGCUUUAAACUAUUGUUGUUAUGGGUAUUACUGUGUUUUUGUAUUAUGCGCCAUGUGCAGGCGCGACAAGAUAACAUAGUAAAGCGCAAUUGCUCUGAGAAUGGACAAUAUUGCCAAAUGCAUAUGGACUGUUGUUCCCGAAAGUGCAUGACAUAUAUGUACAAGUGCGCGCCCAGAGUGCCAGAGAAAUAUCCUGAAAACAAUGGCAGCCCAACGGGCUUGAAUUCUCUCCCAGACUUUUGGUGGCCUCUAUACCAUGCGAAUGCAUCACUCAACGAAGAUCUGGAGAUUGUUACGCUGCAAGAUGAUAAGACCACAACAAGAGCUGAGCUCGUUGAAAACAACAGCCAAUCAGUGGAGAAAGCGGGCAUUGCCUACGAUAUAGUCACUCCAUCAAGCACUGCUCCAACCGCGAGUACACCCCGCUGUAACCGCGUUGGCGAUGUGUGCUCAGAUAGCAGCGAAUGCUGUACAAUGCGUUGUCACACCUACCUCCAUAAGUGCGUCACCUAAAGUCACAAGCCCGCUUACUAACUGAACCUACCCACAUGUAUUUAUAUGGCAUAAGUUUUUGUAUGCUGAUUCUGUAUUGUUAAUAAACAAGUCUUUGCACAUA